rnacentral:misc_RNA from 1 species
AAAUUGCGAAAAGUAAUGUGAAUUGCAGAAUUCCGUGAAUCAUCGAAUCUUUGAACGCAUAUUGCGCCCUCUAGUUCUCUAGAGAGCAUGCCUGUUUGAGUAUCAGUAAUACCCUCACCAACCCUUUUGGGUUUGUUGUGGACUUGAGCGCUCCAGUAGUUCAUAAGUACGCUUCUUCGCUUCUAGCGUUUUCGAGUGCUGUGAAUAAAAGCUGGUCGCUUGAAAUGUAGCGCGCGCUGUGCUUGUCACUGCAACUU